UGCUUCUUCUGAAAAUACUAUUGUCACCUCAUAAUCUUUAUUGCUACCUACCAUCUUCAUUACCCUCACAAUAGCUACUAGAUCAAAAGCAACACGAAAUUAUAACCUCCACAAACUCAUAAAGCUGCAAGAGGUACAUUUCCUCCUCUUCCUAGGGAUCUCAAGUCUAUCUUGACUAGCUUUUGGAAUCAUCUCCGGUACUUCAGUCAGAGCCUCACGUUGUCAUGUUCUGGCAGAUAGUCAUGCAGCCUAGGCUAGUGCAUCCUGCUGUGAAGAACAUGCUCCUAUUGUUCUAACUGAGCAAGCUCAGUCUCAAAGAAGCUUUGAUGCCUGAUUCCUCAUAUGACUCGUCAUUCAACUGCAGAAUGAUAUUUCAUAAUUAUUCUAGUUGUGGACAGAAGAAGAAAAUCAAAUUAACAAGGAAAUUUGAACUUAAGAAGUUCAACUAACCUGUUGUGUUUGUCGCUCGUCCUCACAGUGAGUGGUAAUAAGUCAAGCCAUCCCAAAAUGGCUAUAACUGCAUGAUGAAAAGGGAACUAAUUAGAUAUUAGUACUUAAAUCUCCAAUAUUUUAUUGUAAAUGAUUUUUACCACCUUCAAAAGUUGUAAGUUGAUUACAGUUCCGUGAUACCAAAAUAUCACCACUCUCUCCUAUUCCUGAAUCGACUCAUGGAAAUUUUUUCACCAUGUUGAUGCCUUUCAUACAAGCAGCUGGUUUGAUCUCCUAAUCAUCCAGAAGACUAAUCUACUACUAUAUAGUUGUUGCCAAUUUUUUGUUGAACAUGAAGAAGCUUUUGUGUGAAGGUGUUAAAGGAAGGACCAACGUUGAAUUUGGAUUAAUAUCGGGAUUAGAAGUUUGUAAACAUGAUUAUUCUAGGGGUUUAUCACACAAAAAAAAACAUGAUUCUAGGGCUGUACGUGAUUUUAUUAACUUCACAACAAAAUACAUUAUAUGUUAGGUAACUACCAUUAAAAUAGUAAUAUAACUUCAAACAAAUACUGGCUCUCAUUGAGUUAAAGAUGUUAACAAACAACAAUACGAUUCAAGACCCUUUUAGUGAAGUAAUCACAUUUUCAACAAUGUGAAACUGCAUAUAUGGAGAGCAAGUCAGCAAACUAAUUAAGGGUCCAAACGUAGUCACCAAACAAUUUUUAAACACUAGCAAUAUUUUGAAGAUUGUCGCUCAAAAAUAUAUAAGAAUUCAAUGAUUACUGCAAUUUAUAACAACUCAUGUAAGAUUGAGCUCGAUAAUAAGAAAGUGAUGUGAAAGUCUUACCUGUUCCAAGUGAUCUGUGUCCAGCUUAUUACUCAGCAUUGUGAAACAAACUUAAUGUUCAUGUUGCAGAUUGAAUCAAGGCAAGCACUCUUGAAUAGAUUCUUUGCAAGAGUUGGUGCUACCACCUAACAAAAAAAAAAUGUCUUCAUUAUUAGAAAAUCUCCUGAGUAAGAAAAAGCAGGAAAUAUUGAUUCUGCAAACUUGAGAUGAGACAUAAAAGAAAUCAUUUCAGUACACAAAAGAGAACCUUUUUCAUGCAUACUAGAGAAAGAGCAGGUGGUAUAUGUUGUGAUCCAUCAUACGCUUUCAUUUCGAGAAAUAAUUGUACAUAAUUUCAUUCAAAUCAUUAUACUAAAUAAGUUGUGCAAGUAUAUUACCCUUAGGGGAGGACGCAAGAAAUUAUCCCUUUCUUUUUUGGAAUGCCUUAGGAAAUAUGGAAGUGUAUAUAAGAUGAAUGAAUCCAAGAUGAUAUUAAAACCUACAGUGACAGGAUUUCUACCUGCUGUUUUGAUGAUUAAAGCUUUAUGUUCUAGCAUUCAACAACCAUCUGAAGGUCGGCAGAACUUGGUCAACCACUCUACUGCUAUUUCUAAUUCUCUGAAGACUUGCUUGAAGUUGAUAUCUUCAAAUGAAAAACUGUAUUAACAAUGGGUUCUGUUUUCCUACUAGCUCUGAAUGAUCCUUUUAGCUGGACAAUAGAUUGUUCAGAUUCUACUGCAGCCUUGAAUAUUCCGAUCAUAGUUCAAUUUGGUUAAUACUUAAUAGUAACUCCUAGGUCAGUUUAGUUAAUAGUCACUUUAGGUUAGGGUCUGCCUUAGCCACUACAACAGCAAAAACAAAAUCCAAUGGAUCCACUGUGGCACUGUGACAAACACAAACAUGCCAUCACACUGUAUAAUAAUGCAUAAACAACUGCCUCCACCAACAAACAUCAUGACUCCGACCUGAGAGUUUAAUUACUUAUGUUGAGGGGCCGAAAGGGGAGAACCUAUCCCUCUCCUUCACUACAAAUCAUCAAAUUAGUAGUACAGGAAAUGGAAGAAGGUUUAUCUAGUUUAGAAAUACAAAGGAUGGUAUGGGGCGCCGCUCAGACUUGAAAAGGCAAAGAGGAAGCAUGACAAUUUAAAAUUCCAUAUUAACUUUUUGUUUCCUUGUAAACCAAUAUGUGGUUCUCUACCCUCCGUGCCUACCUAAAUGUUUCUCUAUGGUCAAUUAAAGUGAACUGUAAGUUACUUCUCUAAUUUUUUUGACGCAAGUGUCUUUAGAGAAUUAAUACAAUGGUAUCAUCACCCCCAUCCCCACCCCCACCACCAACACACACAUCUCCUCAAUAAAAUUAUAAAAGAACUAUGAAACUGCUCUCUGAUUCCCAGUUUGCUUAAGGUAUACAAUCCAAGGGAAAAUCUCGAUCUUAUUUAGACUUAAACAUUGUCAUCGGUUGAGGACUCGAGUCAUUGAUAUCGAUAAAUUUUAUCUUAGCAUUCAUCUUGAAUCAAAAAAUCAUGGCAGUCUUCAAACCAAUUAGUCCUUUAGUCCAACCUAGAGUAAUUUAUCCUUAAUAACUUAACUAGGGUUUUCCCCUACUGUUCAUGGAACCAGCUAAGCCAAUGUUCUUGUGUUUAGGGGCCAAAAUCAACCUAUCAUCCAAGCUUAAAAUCUCCGUUCUAUAUCUCCUUCUUCGUCCUUUUCUUACUCUCUCCCUCUCAUCCUUUCUCCUCUGUCUUUUAUCUCCCUCUCAAUUACUCACUUCAAAACAACCCCAUCUUUACUUUCCACAGCAGUUUGCAGUACACUAGUAGGAAACACACAUUUGAGAGAUCAUUAGCCUCUCGAACACCCAAAUGUGGAUAAGUAUGAGCUACCUAAAAGUUAAAAACUCUUGUUCAUGAUAGAAUUAAGAUGUUUAGUGAGAACCUCACUCCAGAUGCCAAAACCAUUACACUGUUGUUUAACAAUAUAAACAACUUCAUUGCAUAAAGAAAACCCAUUACAGUUUGCAUGUUGAAAUGUAAUCUUAAGACCUAAGUCAAACCAAAAGAACAGAUUAAUAAACAAUAAAAUGUUUUACCUGAAGCAGAGCAUCAGUUCUCAAAACAGGUAAACAAAGCAGUUGUUGAUAGCUUUCAAACUCAGAUGUGUUUAUAAUUGUAGAUCCCAUUUAUGAGUUUUAAGUUUUGAAUAAAUAUUUGAUUAUAGAAUAAUGCAGAUUUCCCCCUAAAAGCUGACAAUAUUCCUUUCACCCUAAAGGUUUUGCUGAUGUGUUGUACAAAGAAGGCUUAUAUCUGUUUGUGUGGUGUUGGGAUCACUGAUCAGUAUGUCUUUAAAGAUUCUUUUGGAAAACUGUUCCUUCAUGUGCACAGAAAUUUCAAAUGUAAUGAUAGGAGUUGUGUAAAGGCUUCUCAUCAGGUGUCUCAGAUCCUUUUAAAACAAGAUCCUACUAUCACUAGGGUAUAAUUAAGUAUAAACUAGUGUGUUCAAAACAAAUGGAUCAUAAAUUCAUAAUUGAUUCUACAUGAAUCUAUGUGGCCUGCAAUAUGACUUUUCACAUCAUUGUGAAUAAUUAUCAACAGAGAGAAUGACAAGCUUGCAGCCAUAUUACAGUUACAGGCCAUAUUACACAGACUAACUUGUGAUAUUAGUAGCUUCUAAUUUGAAGAAUAUAUAAUUAGCUUCUAAUCCAUACAGUAUAUAUUUUGUGUACUCAAAAUAACAUGACUAAGGUCAGCAGUGUUUUGCCUGAAAGGAUACCCUAAGACUGCAGUUUUCUUGAUGCUCUGCUUGAUAACAUACUUCUAGAUACAGGUCUUUAUGCAUCCUAUCUAUUGCUUCUUGCCACAUAGGAUAAUUUUGGUCGAGAUGGUUGAAUUGUUAGCAUGGAUGAUUUAGAAAAUAUGAUUGGAGGGUAUGUAGGGUUAGGUUCCAUUUAUAUAUUUGGUGGAAUUUGGCCUAUCUUGAUCAAAUCCUUUGCAUGGGCUCAGCGAGCAUUUAAUUUGUAUAGUUUGGAGAGGCUUACUUGUCAUAAAGUUAACAGCUUUGCUGCCCAGCUGAUCUAGUAACAUGGUGAGACGCCGAGCUGAUUGGUCAGUGUAAGGAUCCAUCAUCCCCAACUACUGGUUGGAAAUUGAUCAUUCUAAGUAAAUUCCCUCUAUCACUUAUGGGAGUUCCCUAACUGACUAACUCUUUACCCAAGAUUUACCCAAUUGGUGAAUGAGCCUGUGGCUCAAUGGUAGCACCCUUCUCACAAUGUGGAGAGGUUGUGGGUUCGAAACACGUCAACAGCUGAUUGUUGAUAUAGUUUCCACACGUAAUUUAAAGGGGUAGGGGCUUGCCAAUAAAAAAAAAAAAAAAAAAAAAAAAGAUUUACCCAACUUGUACUAGGUGUUUUUCCAGCAUACCCUCAUGAGCAGAGAUACAUAUGAGGUAUCAUAGCUGGCUGCUGGCCUAUGCCAAAUAGUGAGCUGAUCCUAUUAUGAUUCUUAACAAUACUGUGUGUCCGAUAUAAGCGAACUUUGGACAAUUCAUUGUUAAACUUUGUCGACCCUAGUGAAGUCCUUUAACAUUAAAGAACGCACACUAGACGAGUGAGCGGGAAUAUAUAUGUACUGGAUUUAUUACGCUAAAAUUUCCUUUUCAACCAAACACACCCGUUUUUAUGGGUUUCAUUUUUGUAGUCUAAAAUCAAGAGCAUGUAGCCAGGUUUUACAAUAGCAAGGGACAAAUUCAUUGGUUGAGAAUAGAGCACGAUUUUUUAUCAGACAAAUAAUUACUUUCGCAUUCCAAAUAUAGAGACCAGCAUAAAAUACAAAUGAACAAUGAGAAGCUUUAUAUAGGCCGGAAAUCAGUGGAGCAAACUAAAAAUGACUAAUACAGGUAAAUGACAUACCAUGGUCAUCCAUCCAUGUACUGGCAGCAAUCUGCCUGAAAACCAGAAAUAUCAAUCAGUUCACAUAAGGCCUAAAUUACAGAACUUCAGAGGGCUGUGAUGAACUUAAUUUCAUAUCAUAUCGAAGUUUAUCAGUAGUAAAUAAUAUUAAAACUAUAUAAGAGCUUAAAUGAAUGCUCCAUAAAGCAUGUACUGACAAUUUAAAGAAAACCUCAAUUCAGGAAGGCGGAAGCCCUAGAAGAAAAUCUCUACAGGAUUAAAGCUCUUUCUGAUUAUUGAAAUUUGAAAUACCAAAACGAUUCAUCCAAAUUGAUGUUCACAUAUUUGUAAGUUGACAAGAGCCAACAGUUCUCUGUCUGAUACUGCAAUUUCCCUGAUGGGGGACUUUGAAUAGCAAAUCUUAAGGCUCUAAAAAGAUCAUUGAUCCAGCUACAUGUGAAGCCUAUUCGAUUGACCUAGAUGGAUCUAACGCACCAAUGGAUUAGUCCAGUGUCUUUUUUACUAGCAUCAGUAGUGAUGGAUUAUAAUGCAGCUGGUUUUAGGCCAAAUCAUUACUUGACGAGAUGAUCGAUCAUUCAAAUUAAUGUCACCUCAGUCUCACUAGUCACCCGGAAUGGCUUACACUUCCUACCUAAUCAUCGUAUAUUUUACUGAAUUCUAAAUUUCUAAAUUAGACAUAGCUUGUUAGACUAAACCUUAUAUCAUAUUAUUCCAACAAUUUGUGAUUCUUCAAUAUUAACAAAUUAAAUUUCCCCUAUGAAUGUUAAUAUUUAAAACAUACAAGGAAAACCUGCAAUCCUUGAGAAAAGUAGAAUUGAUUCUGCUCUUAAUCCAUGGCAAUCUGUAAUGUUACUGUCCAACUCUGAGGGUCAGCCUUGUAGAUGUAGGCAUAGUACAUACAGUGAACCUUGUUCAACCAAUCUUAAGACCUUUAUUCUUUAUCCAGUACCUUUUUCAUCUCAAGUUUUUCAGAAGUUGAACCACAUUAAUCAGCAUCAACUAAUAGGCAAAGCCAUAUUUCCCCAUGGCAGAAUCUAACUAAGCUUGUGCAAUUCAUCAAUGACUGUUAAGUCACACUGUGAGAUU
rnacentral:lncRNA from 1 species